UUACCCGCUUUGGCCAAAAUUGCAACAGAUGGCGCUAGUGGGCAGGAGUUUUUAACUUUUAAAAUGUAUGGAGAAAUUUAUAAAAAUUAGUUUUUUGACUUAUUAAAGGUUUUAUUGAAAAAAAUAUUUGGUACAGGUUGUGAGUAAUAAUGAUAGUAAUCUGCGUUACCAAAUAUUUUUUGCCAAAACUUCGAUAUAUUUGAAAUAUUAGGAAAAAUAUUCAUUUCACCAUACAUUAUUUUGGCCGAAAACUUCUGCUCGAUGUUGGUUGAUCUUCAUUUGCCUAUACAUGGCAUCAUCAAUAUACAUGGUUUCAUGUUUACCCAUCUGUCAAUCAUUCGUAACAAAAAAAUAAAAAAAAAGUUAGGAGCUAUUGGAGCGGCGCAAAAAAAUGCGGUAAAUAUUGAAUUUCAUUACAUAAAUCUAAUUUUAUUUCAUAAUAUACUGAUCAUUUCUAUCAUUUCAGGGUAGUCCAUCCACCGCCGCAACGGUCAACUUGCAGCCGUCGUAGGCUGUCCGGUAAAUUGUAUAAUUUUUAUGGUCUUUUCGGAUGAAAAGAAACAGUGGCAGUGUCGCUGCGUGCCUUGUGCAGGUAGAUGUAUCCCCUGGAGCCGGGGGACGAAGAGAUUGACACUGAUUUACCCUUCCUACUAGAGGCGAAGUUUAUUUGGGUUUGUCUGCAGCCGCUGUUCUCCUGUUCUACAUUUUCCGGCCACUGAUUGUGCAGAUCCAUCGGCUUAUUUUCAACACUAUUGUGGUGUACUUCUUCGGCUGGAAGGUUAUGGUCGGUUAGAAAUACAUACAGCAGUCAGAUCCCUCCUGGCCAUGGGCCUCUAUCCGGUCGCGGGAUACUUGAACUGGACUACCUUCAACGUUGAAUAUCUCAACAGGGAUCACGAUUCCGCCGGCCAGUAUCUCCUCCAAGUGAAACGGGUUGAUACCAUCCCGCAGUACUCCAGCGACAUCGGACUGUUUACUUCCGGAUCAAGCGGAAGGCGAGAAGACCGGAUUCCUAGAAUGCUUCUUCACCGGGGUGUUCAGUGUUAACGCCCUGACCGUACCUGAUUGAGUGUAAAUGGGAUUUGGCAAAAGUCGGUACCCACGACCACCCCCUCAGGAAGCAAAAUUUGAUAAAACGUUAUAUUUGACCAUUUUGGGUGUUCAGUGUUAACGCCCUGACCGUACCAGAUUGAGUGUAAAUGGGAUUUGGCAAAAGUCGGUACCCACGACCACCCCCUCAGGAAGCAAAAUUUGAUAAAACGUUAUAUUUGACCAUUUUGGGUGUUCAGUGUUAACGCCCUGACCGUACCAGAUUGAGUGUAAAUGGGAUUUGGCAAAAGUGUUCAGUGUUAACGCCCUGACCGUACCUGAUUGAGUGUAAAUGGGAUUUGGCAAAAGUCGGUACCCACGACCACCCCCUCAGGAAGCAAAAUUUGAUAAAACGUUAUAUUUGACCAUUUUGGGUGUUCAGUGUUAACGCCCUGACCGUACCAGAUUGAGUGUAAAUGGGAUUUGGCAAAAGUCGGUACCCACGACCACCCGCUCAGGAAGCAAAAUUUGAUAAAACGUUAUAUUUGACCAUUUUGGGUGUUCAGUGUUAACGCCCUGACCGUACCUGAUUGAGUGUAAAUGGGAUUUGGCAAAAGUCGGUACCCACGACCACCCCCUCAGGAAGCAAAAUUUGAUAAAACGUUAUUUUUGACCAUUUUGGGUGUUCAGUGUUAACGCCCUGACCGUACCAGAUUGAGUGUAAAUGGGAUUUGGCAAAAGUCGGUACCCACGACCACCCCCUCAGGAAGCAAAAUUUGAUAAAACGUUUUUUUUUUACCAUUUUAGGUGUUCAGUGUUAACGCCCUGACCGUACCUGAUUGAGUGUAAAUGGGAUUUGGCAAAAGUCGGUACCCACGACCACCCCCUCAGGAAGCAAAAUUUGAUAAAACGUUAUAUUUGACCAUUUUGGGUGUUCAGUGUUAACGCCCUGACCGUACCAGAUUGAGUGUAAAUGGGAUUUGGCAAAAGUCGGUACCCACGACCACCCCCUCAGGAAGCAAAAUUUGAUAAAACGUUAUAUUUGACCAUUUUGGGUGUUCAGUGUUAACGCCCUGACCGUACCAGAUUGAGUGUAAAUGGGAUUUGGCAAAAGUGUUCAGUGUUAACGCCCUGACCGUACCUGAUUGAGUGUAAAUGGGAUUUGGCAAAAGUCGGUACCCACGACCACCCCCUCAGGAAGCAAAAUUUGAUAAAACGUUAUAUUUGACCAUUUUGGGUGUUCAGUGUUAACGCCCUGACCGUACCAGAUUGAGUGUAAAUGGGAUUUGGCAAAAGUCGGUACCCACGACCACCCCCUCAGGAAGCAAAAUUUGAUAAAACGUUUUUUUUUUAC